rnacentral:rRNA from 1 species
UACGUAGGGCGCAAGCGUUUGUCCGGAAUUUAUUGGGCGUAAAGAGCUCGUAGGCGGCUUGUCGCGUCGGAUGUGAAAGCCCCGGGGCUUAACUCCGGGUCUGCAUUCGAUACGGGCAGGCUAGAGUGGGGUAGGGGGAGAUCGGAAUUCCUGGUGUAGCGGUGAAAUGCGCAGAUAUCAGGAGGAACACCGGUGGCGAAGGCGGAUCUCUGGGCCAUUACUGACGCUGAGGAGCGAAAAGCGUGGGGGAGCGAAACAGG